AUUCAUCUUCGGGGCUGGGUGCAAUUCCCGACCGGCGGUGAUGAAGCGUAUGCUUCUAAGCCCGCGAGCCUGUAAAGGGCAGGAUUUGGUGUGAUUCCAAAGCCGACAGUAUAGUCUGGAUGGGAGAAGGUGAAG
rnacentral:ncRNA from 2 species